rnacentral:tRNA from 1 species
GGAGAGGUGCUCGAGUGGUUGAAGAGGCACGCCUGGAAAGCGUGUAUACGCCAAAAGUGUAUCGCGGGUUCGAAUCCCCGUCUCUCCG